rnacentral:lncRNA from 1 species
CAGAACAUCCACUGGUGUAUCCAUCACAUGGUUCAGGAACUGUUCUCAUGAGCACCAACCUACCCUGGUUAUUAGCAUUCAGGACAGUUUUAGAGAUCCGGAGAAGUUUGAAAAUAGUCAAAACCCUUUUCCACGGUUCAAACUGCAAUGGAACCCCUCUAACAACACCUAUGAUCUACUGAUUGAGAACAUCACUGGAUCUGACCUGGGACUCUACCACUGUGGGACUGAGGAGACUAAGCUGGUGGAUGAAGGAGGGAAAGGAGGUGUUAAAAAGAAGGUGUUGUACCUCUAUGGAAACGUCACCAAUAGACUUUCAUUUGAGGUCAUCCCAGAGGUCAUCCAAGUGACUGAAGACUGUGGUCUGUGUUGGAUUCUGAUGUUCAGUCUGUGUCCUGUGUCUGUUCUCCUCUCUUCUCUCCUCUCCUCCUUCUGUGUUUACUCCUUCUGCAGAAAAACAGCUCCAAAUGAGACUUCAGUUCCUCUGAACAGGACGUCGACUAGGGGAAGUGACAGUAGAGAGAAGGAGGAAGAAGACCUGUGUUAUGCCUCAUUGGACAUCCGUCAAGGACAGAAGAGACCAAAGAAGAAGAAUAAAAUCCAGAACUCUGACUUCAGUACCUACUCAGCCAUCAAUACCAUGAGAGUGUGACCUACACCAGCCAUCAAUACCAUGAGAGUGUGACCUAUACCAGCCACAAUACCAGCAGACUGUGACAUAUACUAGCCAUCAAUACCAGCAGACUGUGACCUAUACCUGCAUCCAAUACCAGCAGAAUGUGACAUAUACUAGCCAUCAAUACCAGCAAUAUGUGGGAACUAUACCAGUCA